AAAUUGAAGAGUUUGAUCAUGGCUCAGAUUGAACGCUGGCGGCAGGCCUAACACAUGCAAGUCGAACGGUAACAGGAAACAGCUUGCUGUUUCGCUGACGAGUGGCGGACGGGUGAGUAAUGUCUGGGAAACUGCCUGAUGGAGGGGGAUAACUACUGGAAACGGUAGCUAAUACCGCAUAAUGUC
rnacentral:rRNA from 1 species